rnacentral:lncRNA from 1 species
GUGUGCUUGCUGUCCCUCUCCCACUCCUGCCCUGGGCCCAGCUCUGGGGGACAGGGCAGGGGGACAGAGGCAGGAGGCUCCUGCCCUCCCCCCUGCCCUCCCCAGCAGAGGGCCUGGGGACAGCACAUCCUUCCCAUUCUGCAGGCCUGCCCAGGCCCCUGCAUGGGUGGCUCAAUGUGGCCUCCCCGUGUGGCGGAGUUUGCACAGAGGGCUUAGGUGUUGGGAGCAAGAAAAGCUGCCGAAGCGCCACCAUAGAAGACCCCCCAUCUGGGCUCUCUGGGCAUGUCCUGCCUUGUCCUGCAUCCCGUCUGUCUCUCCUAUUCUAGAGUGUGUUUUCUCUCUGUCCCCACUGAGUGAGACCUCUUCAGACCUGGCCCUGGCAAAGUAGUCCAGAGGCCACAGACACACUGAGAAGGAAGAGGGAGCCAGCUGGGCCCCCAGGGGUCCAUGGAGCAGGGACCUGACCCCUGCCCAAGUUAAGGGAAGGAUGCCCUUCCCUGCAGACCCAGGAUGUCUCCGUGUGUGUGUGUGUGUGUGUGUGUGUGUGUUGCCCUGUGACCUGUCGCUGCAGUUUGCGUCCGCCGGCGGGUUCCAAGGCUCAUCUACACCAGCUCCGUCAAUGUCGUGUUUGGCGGGAAGCCCAUAGAACAGGGCGAUGAGGACUCUGUGCCAUAUGUCCCACUGGAGAAGCACAUGGACCACUACUCCCGAACCAAAGCCAUCGCCGACCAGUUGACCCUCAUGGCCAACGGGACACCUCUCCCAGGUAGGUACUGGGGCGCCUGGCUCACAGCCAGUGUGCAUGUCCCCUGCUGCCUCCCUGAGGUAUGUGCGUGAUUCUAGCUUUGAGCUGAUAUGUUGCUAAGGCCCAGCUUCCUUCCAAAGGACAUUUCCCCUCAGCCUUGGACAUUCUUCAUCCCACUACUUCUGAGCACCCCCACCCCCGCCAGGGAUACAGCCUGGAAAGCAUCAGGCCCCGUCUCUGCCGUCGCAUUGCAUGGGUCAGCCCAAGUCUGGCUCUCUUUUCUGCCACAUAGAAGGGGCUCCAGUUUGGGAGACCCUCUCUAUAUAAGAGUACAGAUGUAUGAAUAUGCAGUGAGGUAUAUAGCGCUUUGGAGGGGCCAUGCAAGUAAGGGGCCCUUCAGGAACUCCCAGAAAAAUUGGCCUGGAUUGCUUCUUCUUCCUGUAUUGACAGAGAGAAAUAAUCAAGGAGUUCUCUGAUGGCCUCGCCGGUUGAGACUCCUGCGUUCUCACUGCUAUGGCUCUGGUUGCUGCUGUGAGGGGUAGGUUCAAUCCCUGGCCAAGGAAUUCCCACGUACUGCCUCUGUGGCAAAAAAGAAAAAAAUACAACAAGAAAAAAAAGAGAGAGAGAACCUGAAAUAAACAUUGAAACUCUCAUUUAAAAAGAGAGAGAGAGAGAAC